UACAGAGGGUGCAAGCGUUAAUCGGAAUUACUGGGCGUAAAGCGUUCGUAGACGGUUACAUAAGUCGGGUGUGAAAGCCCCGGGCUCAACCUGGGAAUGGCGAUGGAUACUGGCUCGCUAGAGUGCGGUAGAGGAGAGUGGAAUUCCCGGUGUAGCAGUGAAAUGCGUAGAGAUCGGGAGGAACAUCAGUUGCGAAGGCGGCUCUCUGGACCAGCACUGACACUGAGGCACGAAAGCGUGGGGAGCAAACAGG
rnacentral:rRNA from 1 species